rnacentral:rRNA from 1 species
CGAACGCUGGCGGCGUGCCUAACACAUGCAAGUCGAACGGGACUUAGUGGAAAGCGGCUUCGGCCAAUGGAAGCUAAGUUUAGUGGCGAACGGGUGAGUAACGCGUGAGGAACCUGCCUUAAAGAGGGGGACAACAGUUGGAAACGACUGCUAAUACCGCAUAAGCCCACACUACCGCAUGGUAGAGUGAGAAAAGAUUUUAUCGCUUUAAGAUGAGCUCGCGUCUGAUUAGCUAGUUGGUGGGGUAACGGCUCACCAAGGCGACGAUCAGUAGCCGGUCUGAGAGGAUGAACGGCCACAUUGGGACUGAGACACGGCCCAGACUCCUACGGGAGGCAGCAGUGGGGAAUCUUCCGCAAUGGACGAAAGUCUGACGGAGCAAUGCCGCGUGAGUGAUGAAGGUUUUCGGACCGUAAAGCUCUUUUGUUUAUGACGAAUGUGCAUGAUGUGAACAAUGUUGUGUAAUGACGGUAGUAAACGAAUAAGCCACGGCUAACUACGUG